AACCAGUGAUGUAAAAGAUUCUGCCAAAUGAUAGAAUAUGAUUUUAUUCAUAAACCGUUCCAUUUUUUUUUACACUGAGGUU
rnacentral:snoRNA from 1 species